AUGAGUUCCACAGAAAACACACAGGCUAACACCGACACAACUCAAAGAACCAGACAAAAAUACAUGUUGAGUAUCAAAUCAAACAAAAGUGUGCAAGUCUUAGUAGUGAUGACCAAAUUAAAGUGCACCAAUAGAAGGAAGCGUCUGACACACAACCUGCAAAAGUUGGUGAUUUGUUCCAAUCCAGCAAAAUAG